rnacentral:rRNA from 1 species
UACGUAGGGUGCGAGCGUUGUCCGGAAUUACUGGGCGUAAAGAGCUCGUAGGUGGUUUGUCGCGUUGUUCGUGAAAUCUCACGGCUUAACUGUGAGCGUGCGGGCGAUACGGGCAGACUAGAGUACUGCAGGGGAGACUGGAAUUCCUGGUGUAGCGGUGGAAUGCGCAGAUAUCAGGAGGAACACCGGUGGCGAAGGCGGUUCUCUGGGCAUUACCUGACGCUGAGGAGCGAAAGCAUGGGGAGCGAACAGG